rnacentral:rRNA from 1 species
UACGUAGGUGGCAAGCGUUGUCCGGAUUUACUGGGUGUAAAGGGCGUGCAGCCGGGAAGACAAGUCAGAUGUGAAAUCCCGCGGCUCAACCGCGGAACUGCAUUUGAAACUGUUUUUCUUGAGUAUCGGAGAGGUAACCGGAAUUCCUAGUGUAGCGGUGAAAUGCGUAGAUAUUAGGAAGAACACCAGUGGCGAAGGCGGCUCUCUGGUCUGUAACUGACGCUGAGGUUCGAAAGCGUGGGUAGCAAACAGG